GAAAUGGGCAACACCUGGAAAACCUUCUUGAUAGUGAUCUACAGCUAUUUCCUGGAAUGGCUCAGGUAUGAAGGUGUCUGUAUUUUUGUAUGAAUAGACAAAAGAAGAAAGCAGAUCAUUUUUGAUUGCUAUUUUUCACAAGGUCAGAUAACGAAAUACAAGUGUAAAGAAUAAACAAUGUGAUAGUACCAAUUGCAUAUGUGAGCGAAGGUCAACCAACUGAAAGGAAGCAGCUUUCACAACUGGCUGGA